UAAAAUGACUUCACUUUGGUGUUGGAAAGCUCCUGACUCCAGCUUCUAAUGGCUGUCAUAAGUAAUUGGUAUUUUUAGGUUCCCAAGAAAACAUUUCUGAAAAGGACAGCUAUACAUUUUUAUGGGAAAAUAAGCAAAUUUUCAUCCUUUGUGGACCCCUGUAGGAGUUGAGAGUCUAAUCAAGGUACUUUGUUUGGAUCAUGCCAGCUGACCUGGGUGAAUGAAAUUUUUGCUGUAUCAUCUACUUAUGAGAGAAAAUUUGAUUGUGAGUUCAGUUUCAUUAUCCAUCAUCAGGGAUGGAAAAGAAGUGGUUUGGAGUCUAUGCCAGUCAAAGAUACCUUGGGUGCCAAGCAGAAAAGAAACACCUUGGGGUUCUUAA
rnacentral:lncRNA from 1 species